CCCUUAGAUGUUCUGGGCCGCACGCGUGCUACACUGAUGCAUUCAACGAGUCUAAAACCUGGUCUGAUAGGGCUGGGUAAUCUUUUGAAAGUGCAUCGUGAUUGGGAUAGAUGAUUGCAAUUCUUCAUCUUCAACGAGGAAUGCCUAGUAAACGCAAGUCAUCAGCUUGCAUUGAUUACGUCCCUGCCCUUUGUACACACCGCCCGUCGCUCCUACCGAUUGAAUGAUCCGGUGAAGCGUUCGGACCGUGGCCUUUGGACGGUUCGCCGUCUGUUGGCUGCGGGAAGUUCGUUAAACCUUAUCAUUUAGAGGAAGGAGAAGUCGUAACA
rnacentral:rRNA from 1 species